rnacentral:snRNA from 1 species
UUGCUCACCUUGGCAGCACAUAUACUUAGAUGGGACCAAUACAGAGAAGAUUAGCAUGGCCCUUGUGCAAGGAUAACACAUAAAUUUGUGAAGUGUUCCAUAUUUUU